rnacentral:lncRNA from 1 species
GUUGCUAUGAAAAGAAAAAUCAUGAUAUUAAAUUUUAGCAUCGAUAUUAUGGAAGCUAUGCCUGGACUCAACAACACGAACUUCUACUCACCAAGGCUGAUCUUGUACUAAUACUAAGUGCCCAACCUGACAACAGAGAAGAUGAUGAGCCUUUAUAAGACACCAUUCCUUAGGGGCAUCAGCCAGUCCCAUGGUGGUAGGAUUAUUACAUGGGACACCUUUCAUCAUGAUGAAAACAGAAACUUUUCCUCAUGGAAAUGAAUAUGUAUUUUAGACACACAUUUACCUUCUUUGCUGACAAUGAUUCUGUCAUCAUCAUCUCCAUGGACUUCCAGAAUGCCUUAAUCAUCAUCAGAGUAUCCUACACAAAGUUGUCUCUGACCAAG